rfam:Myotis brandtii contig180507, whole genome shotgun sequence.
GAGACACCCUUAUGGAACAGGACUUGCUUCAGUGGGGCUUUGGUGCUCACUGAGUCUGCCCCUUGAAUGUGUCAGU